UUCGGUGUACAUCAUACGAGCACAGUUUGGGUCGGAUCAAUGAAAGGACGUUUGUAAAGUCCUCGGUGCAGCUUCGUACGCCGUCUCAACGUGCUUCUUCCCCUCCUGCAGCUCCACCUCCUGCUACUGCUACUUCUUCCCGUCCUUCUAUGGACAUUUCUGAGGAAGAUAUUUCCGUUUCAUCGGUGUAUCGCGAGCAGCAACGUCUAUCUGAGGAGCUUCAGAAGUUGUCUGCAGAACAAGCUGCGAUUCGUAAGGAUGUGGGCAAGAUGAAGCGCUUGUUGAAUAUGAUUUUUGACAAAUUAGGAUGUUGUC
rnacentral:lncRNA from 1 species